rnacentral:pre_miRNA from 1 species
UUAGUACUCCCUCCGGCCGGAAUUACUUGUUGAAAUAUUACAUGUAUCUAGACACUUUUUGAACAUAGAUACAUCCAUAUUUGGACAAAUUUAAGACAAGUAAUAUGGGUCGGAGGGAGUACAAU